UACGUAGGUGGCAAGCGUUGUCCGGAUUUACUGGGCGUAAAGAGCGCGCAGGCGGUCGGAUCAGUCGAAUGUGAAAGCCCCCGGCUCAACUGGGGAGGGUCAUUCGAUACUGUCCGACUCGAAGGCAGGAGAGGGAAGCGGAAUUCCCGGUGUAGUGGUGAAAUGCGUAGAUAUCGGGAGGAACACCCGUAGCGAAGGCGGCACUCUGGGCCGGUACUGACGCUGAGGAGCGAAAGCGUGGGGAGCAAACAGG
rnacentral:rRNA from 1 species